rnacentral:rRNA from 1 species
UGGGGAAUAUUGCACAAUGGGCGCAAGCCUGAUGCAGCAACGCCGCGUGAGGGACGACGGCCUUCGGGUUGUAAACCUCUUUUAGUAGGGAAGAAGCGAAAGUGACGGUACCUGCAGAAAAACGCACCGGCUAACUACGUGCCAGCAGCCGCGGUAAUACGUAGGGUGCGAGCGUUGUCCGGAAUUAUUGGGCGUAAAGAGCUCGUAGGCGGUCUGUCGCGUCUGCUGUGAAAAUCCCGAGGCUCAACCUCGGGCCUGCAGUGGGUACGGGCAGACUAGAGUGCGGUAGGGGAGAAUGGAAUUCCUGGUGUAGCGGUGGAAUGCGCAGAUAUCAGGAGGAACACCGAUGGCGAAGGCAGUUCUCUGGGCCGUAACUGACGCUGAGGAGCGAAAGCGUGGGGAGCGAACAGGAUUAGAUACCCUGGUAGUCCACGCCGUAAACGUUGGGCGCUAGAUGUGGGGCACCAUUCCACGGUUUCCGUGUCGCAGCUAACGCAUUAAGCGCCCCGCCUGGGGAGUACGGCCGCAAGGCU